rnacentral:rRNA from 1 species
GGGUUGUGAGGUUAAGCGACUAAGCGUACACGGUGGAUGCCCUGGCAGUCAGAGGCGAUGAAGGACGUGCUAAUCUGCGAUAAGCGCCGGUAAGGUGAUAUGAACCGUUAUAACCGGCGAUUUCCGAAUGGGGAAACCCAGUGUGAUUCGUCACACUAUCAUUAACUGAAUCC